rnacentral:tRNA from 1 species
AAUAUAGUGCCUGAAAUUAAAGGAUAGUUUUGAUAGAACUAAUAAUGUAAUUAAUUACCUAUAUUA